rnacentral:tRNA from 2 species
GCUAACAUGGCUCAGUCGGUAGAGCGACGCACUCGUAAUGCGUAGGUCGCGGGUUCGAUUCCCGCUGUUAGCUUCA